AGGAUAAACGCUGGCGGCGUGCCUAAUGCAUGCAAGUCGCACGGAGUACUCUUUCGGGGGUACUGAGUGGCGAACGGGUGAGGAACGCGUGGAGAACCUACCCCGGCGUGGGGGAUACCCGCCAGAAAUGGCGGCUAAUACCGCGUACGGUCCAGGGGCGGAAGGCUCUCUGGAAGAAAGCAGUAAUGCGCGCUGGGAGGGGUCUGCGCCCGAUUAGCUAGUUGGUGGGGUAAUGGCCCACCAAGACUCCGAUGGGUAGCUGGCUUGAGAGAGCGACCAGCCACACUGGAACUGAGACACGGUCCAGACUCCUACGGGAGGCAGCAGUGAGGAAUUUUCCGCAAUGGGCGCAAGCCUGACGGAGCGACGCCGCGUGUGGGAAGAAGGCCUUCGGGUCGUAAACCACUGUCGAAGGGGACGAUAUUGACGGUACCCUUGGAGGAAGCCCCGGCUAACUACGUGCCAGCAGCCGC
rnacentral:rRNA from 1 species